GCCAGGCGCGGUGGUGCACGCCUGUAAUCCCAGCUGCUGAGGAGGCUGAGGCAGGAGGAUGGAGAAUUCAAAGACAGCCUCAGCAAAAGCGAAGUGUUAAGCAGCUCAGCAAGACCCUGACUCUA
rnacentral:sRNA from 1 species